CCUGGUUGAUCCUGCCAGUAGUCAUAUGCUUGUCUCAAGGAUUUAGCCAUGCAUGUCUAAGUAUAAGCACUUACACUUGUGAAACUGCGGAUGGCUCAUUAUAUCAGUUAUAGUUUAUUUGAUGGAUAUUUAACUACAUGGAUAACCGUAGUAACCUAGAGCUAAUACAUGCUAAAAAUCCUGACUUUACGGAAGGGAUGUAUUUAUUAGUUUAAACCAUCUGGCUUUGCCAUUUGUGAUGAUUCAUAAUAACUUUUCGAAUCGCACCGUUUAACGGCGAUAGAUCAUUCAAAUUUCUGCCCUAUCAGCUUUCGAUGGUAGUGUAGUGGACUACCAUGGCAUUAACGGGUAACGGAGAAUUAGGGUUCGAUUCCGGAGAGGCAGCCUGAGAAACGGCUACCACAUCUAUGGAUGGCAGCAGGCGCGUAAAUUACCCAAUCCUAAUUCAGGGAGGUAGUGACAAGAAAUAACAGUAUCGGAUUUAAAAAUAGAAUCUGGUAAUUGUAAUGAGAACAAUUUAAAAAUCUUAACGAAUGCAACUGGAGGGCAAGUCUGGUGCCAGCAGCCGCGGUAACUCCAGCCCCAGUAGCGUAUAUUAAAGUUGUUGCAGUUAAAAAGCUCGUAGUUGGAUUUCUGAUCUACAGUAUCGGUAGUCUUCUUUAGAUUUAUCAUACUCGGGUCAUCCUCUUAAGACUGAUCUUUUGAUUGGUUUUGAGACUUUUACUUUGAAGAAAAUAGAGUGUUCAAAGCAGGCUUACGCUAUGAAUACAUUAGCAUGGAAUAAUAAGAUAGGACUUUAGUUUCUAUUUUGUUGGUCAUAAGGACUAAAGUAAUGAUUGAUAGGGACAGUUGGGGGUGCUAGUAUUAUUUGGCCAGAGGUGAAAUUCAGAAAUUCUUAUAAGACUAACUAAUGCGAAAGCAUUCACCAAGGAUGUCUUCUUUAAUCAAGAACGAAAGUUGGGGGAUCGAAGACGAUCAGAUACCGUCGUAGUCUCAACCAUAAACUAUGCCGACUAGGUAUUGGUAUACAUUGUUCACCGAGUAUAUCAGCACUUUAUGAGAAAUCAAAGUCUUUGGGUUCCGGGGGGAGUAUGGUCGCAAGACUGAAACUUAAAGGAAUUGACGGAAGGGCACCACCAGGAGUGGAGCCUGCGGCUCAAUUUGACCCAACACGGGAAAACUUACCAGGUCCAGACAUUUGGAGGAUUGACAGGUUGAAGAUCUUUCUUGAUUCUAUGAUUGGUGGUGCAUGGCCGUUCUUAGUUGGUGGAGUGAUUUGUCAGGUUAAUUCCGAUAACGAACGAGACCUCGACCUACUAAAUAGUUACAUUAAAUCUAUGAUUUGGUGU
rnacentral:rRNA from 1 species